rnacentral:rRNA from 1 species
GACGAACCGUGCGAACGUUGUUCGGAAUCACUGGGCUUAAAGGGCGCGUAGGCGGGCUGCCGCGUCCGGGGUGAAAUCCCACGGCUCAACCGUGGAACUGCCUCGGAUACGGGCGGUCUUGAGGGGGGUAGGGGCACGCGGAACUGUGGGUGGAGCGGUGAAAUGCGUUGAUAUCCACAGGAACUCCGGUGGCGAAGGCGGCGUGCUGGACCCCAUCUGACGCUGAGGCGCGAAAGCCAGGGGAGCAAACGGG